GGGUUAGAGUCCUAUAAUAAGUUGAAUAAGGCCUUUGGUCUGGGCUAGAGUCCUAGAAGCUGGGUUAGAGUCCUAGAAUAUUUUCCUUUAGGUCGGGUUGUAGUCCCGACUUGGGUUCCAGAGAGACUGUUGAUCUGAUCUUAAAUACAUUGCACUUUCAAUUUUACUUACUAAAAAGCCUUUUUAACUUUCAAUUUAAUUUUCUCUUAAAUACAUUGCACUUUCUAUUUUACUAAUUUCUUGCAUAUGUUUUCUUUUACUUAUCUAUUAUUUUAUUUUAUUGUAUGACAAUGUUUAUAUGUGAAGCACUUUGAGUCUGCCUUGUGUAUGAAAAGUGCUAUAUAAAUAAAGUUGCCUUGCCUUG